ACUCACAGCUGGUGUGGAGGCUGCUGAUAGACUGAAAGCCCAGGCCAUCCUUGCUAACUGCGGAGGAGCUGCUGGCGUUGGUGCCCCAGGGCCAAGACAGCCCCGGCCUCUUACCAGUUCCUGGGGUCUUCAGUGCGCCUGCCGGGGCUGAAGGCUUCGUCCUUGGCAUGGUGAUGCCCACCUGAGCUGUCAUGCCUCGCCGCCAUGAGCCUGUCUGGGAGAUGACAGGAUUCUUCUUGCCCGACGUGCUUUUGUCGGACUCGUCAGACACAUCAGAAGGAUUCCGCCUCCACUUGGAACCUGGCUCCAUUUUUAUGCCGCUGUCUGAGCCUCCGUCUGAUUUCUUGACAUCAUCACCAGACCACAGGGAAUUCCUCUCCACCUGUGAGUGCUUCUCAGCAUCAGUCUAUGGACAGAGACUCUCUGAAUUAGUCCUUCCCCAAUCCCAGGCUGGGAAGCCCCUCACUCCAAAGGCAAAAAUGCCAAAACACUGGAGUAGUUAAGGGAAAAAUAAUCAUUACUUUAAAGAUGUUUGGACUUUUGUACUCUGGUUAUCUUGUUAGAAAGACUGAUUUUCUUUUUUUGGAAAAAAAAUAAAAAAGUAAAUAAUAUCAAUGUAUCCCUGGAAUGGAAUGGAACGAGAUGGCUGGGCACAGUGGCUCACGCCUAUAAUCCUAAUAUUUUAGGAGGCUGAGGCGGGAGGAUCACUUGAUCCCACAAGUUUAAGACCAGCCUGGGCAUCAUGGCAAAACCCCAUCUCUACAAAAAAUAGAAGAAUUAGCUGAGUGUGGUGGCACACGCCUAUAGUUCUACCCACUCGGGUGGUUGAGGUGAGAGGAUCACCCCGGGGAGGUGGAGGCUGCAGUAAGCCGUGACCGCACCACUGUACUCUAGCCUGGAUGACAGAGCGAGACUGUCUCAAAAAAGAAGAAAAGAAAAGCAAAAGAAAGGAGUGAGGGAAGAGAGGAAAAGGGGCCCAGGAAAAAAGAAGGAAAGAGCCCUAGCGAGGGGAAGGGGCAGAGCAGAUGGAGAUGCAGUGGGAAUUCAGCCACCACCUAUUUUCUGCCACUUGAACAAGCCUCCUCCAACUCUUGCGGCUGAUCUCUAACCAGCAUCCAGUCUCCUGGCCCGUUUCCCUUUGUUCUGCCUUCUUCCCAUCACUGCACCGCAGAGAGAUCUUUGGAUCUAACACACCAAGCAAGGGAGCAAGUGAGCAAGGGUGGCUGCUGGUUCUACUCAAAUCAGGGAGAGCCAGGAGCUGAGGGGAAGCACAUCCUCAAAUGCUACUUCCCCCAAAUGUGGAGAGCCAAUGAUGCCUGCUCCGACCCCAGCAUUAUUUAUAUGUCACUGCUUUGCUCCCCUUGUGGGAUUUUGUUCUGACAAGGGAUAUAAUUAGCCAGCUUUCUUUGGAAGAGCCCUGACCUGCUGGCCAUAAAACCCAGAAGGGGACAGAAGUGUGACGUUAAUGAUCUCCUGCAGCUAAAAGGCAUAAAGCUGACCAGAAUGCUUUGGAGGCCUCCUGGGGUUUGAGGCCAGUUGGAGGAUGUCAGUAGUGAGAAGCAGCACAGUAAAAGGGGAAGGGAGGUCAGGAGCGCUUUCAGGGUGGGUAUACUAAGAUACCAGUCCCAUAUUUGCAAUGCUUAACUACCGAGAGUAGGCAAGAUAGGAAAUUAAAAUGAACACCUGGCAAGAAUCUGCCUAACGCCUGUCAUCCAAGAGUGGAAGAAAUGCCUUCCUCCAUGGAAUACAAUGGCUGAAUGGGAUAAAAGCUAAAAACAGAUAGGCAGCCCAAGUUCAAUCGCCUCCCCAACACCACCCCAACCCCUUCUCCCCUUGUGAAUUCCACUCAUCCAUUACAGACACCUUAUGAGUUCUUUCAUUUGUUUUUUUCCAGCUAAGUAUUAGUCACUAGAGAUAUGAGGAGGACAAACACACACUGCCUGGCUAUGAGAAGCUCAUCAUUCAGCUGUGGCAAGGGACAGAGAGAGGGGAGUUCCUACAUGUGGGCACGGGGCAGGAGCUCACUCAAAGCUUGAUGAGCGAAUGAAUGAGCCUAGGAAGGAGCCAAGGAACACACGCUUUUCAGGCCACAACAGACAUUAGCAAAAUUAUCUUAUCCGAUCUCAGCCUCUAUUUAAUCAGAAAGGGUAAGUACACAAGUACUCAAGUACUGUUAUCUUUAUCUCAAUCUUACAGAAACUAAAGUUGCCCAUUCUUUGUCCCAACUACCUCAGGUCAGUUUCCUUCCUCUAACCACUUCCAGUACAUUCAUCCAACCAGAAUUUACUCCAUGCUUGCUGUCUGCCAGGCACCACGGAGGGUCAGAGAAUCUGGGGAUAAGACUGAUUUCCCACCCAUGGUGGAGCUUACGAUCCAGUGAAACAGGCAGAGAUAGAAUAAAUAAACACAAACAAGGGUGUAAUUGUAGACUACGAAGACUAUUAUAAGGAAAAAGACAAAAAGUCUGAGAAAUAAAUAUAGACAUUGACCUAAUUUAGAUGACAAUGAGGUGGGUAGGCGACAGUGAUCAGUUCAAAAAGAAGUACCCUAAAGAAAGAAAAGAAACUUACUUAGUAAAAGAAGAGUUUGGGGCAGAGCAUACCAGGGAGAGGGAACCACAUGUAUAAAGGUCCUGAGGCAGAAAAUAACUUGGCUUUGGAACAUUCACUUCACAAAUAUUUAUUGGGUGCCACUACGUGCCAGGAAAGCUUAUUCGCACUAGGAAUACUGCAAUGAACAAGUAUAAAUCAUUAACCUCAUGGAGCUUACAUUCAAGUACAUUUUAACAUAUUCUAAUAUGCUCUAAGAGGUACUGAAAAUUUAGCACAUGCCACAUCCUGGGUUACUGCAUUAUUUAUUCUUUUAAUGUUCCUAUACUUAUUUCCCCCCAAUCAAACUGUAAUGGUGCUAAUACUAGUAGCAUAACAACUACAAUUUAUUGAGUACUUACUACGUCCCAGGCACUAAGCUAAAGUGUUUGAUAUGUAUCAUUAAAUUUAAUCCUUAUCAAAAACCUAUGAGGAAAUUACAGUUAAUAGUCUCAAUUUUACAUGACAAAACUGAGGCACACAGUGAAAAGAAAAUUUCCCAAGAUCACAUAGUGAGGAAGUAGAGAUGCAGGGAAUUCAGGGAGUCUAACUGCAGAGCCCACAUUUUAACCACCAUGCCACACUGCCCUCCCUAGGGAUAAGUCGAGGUAUAUGAUACAUUUGUGCAUACUCAGUAGCACCUAAUAGCUAUACCCAGCAGAUUCUCCUUCCAUACUGGCAGGCUCCCCAACCCCAGUUCUAGAGCAGCUCUAGCUUAGCCUCUGGGUGGGACCCAUACAACUCCAUUUCCAUCAGUGGCAGAGACAGCGCACAUGCCCCUGGCCUGGGAAUGUGGCUUGACUUUCUCUCUCUGGAAAGAACAAUCAUCCAGCCAUCACAUCUCCCUAGCUUGGUCCAGGGUGGUCACCUUCCCAGCUCUACUCUGAAUCCUUCAUGAGCUACAUGCCGGACUAUAAGGUGGCACCCCUUGGGAUUAAAAAACGAGAAAGUCCCAGCCUCUCUGUUCCUGGAGCUCACAACAGCGGAACCAGCCAACAGGACAUCCACAUGGGGACGUACGAAGAGUUCUAUCCUGCCUUCCCCUCCAUGCCUUGGCCAGUUGUUUCCAUCUCAAUGGUACCUCCUUUCUGAAGGGUUUUCUUCUGCCUGUUCUUGGAAGUCUAUGUAGUCAUUCGAUAUCCACAUGGGAAGGUGAGGAAAGAAGACACGCACAAGGGACUUCAGAAGGGAGGCCAGUCUUCUGAGAGCAAGAGGUGAGGCCUGAGGAGCAUGAUGUGGGGGAAGAGUGUGGGCUUUGGGUCUGACAGAUCUGGGUUCAAGUGCUGGGUGCUGCCACUCAUUUGCUGUGCAUGACCUUGGAGGACAUUGCCCUACUUAUCUGAACUUAUUAACUCAUGUAUAAAACAUGGAUGAUAAAUAGGUCUCUUACAGCAUUGAUGGUGAACUCAGUGAACUCAGUGUGUGGGGGGCUCAAUAAACAGUGGUUCUAUUCAUUA